rnacentral:rRNA from 1 species
GACGAACGCUGGCGGCGUGCCUAAUACAUGCAAGUCGAGCGCAGGAAACUGACGGAACUCUUCGGAGGGAAGGCAGUGGAAUGAGCGGCGGACGGGUGAGUAACACGUAAGGAACCUGCCUCAAGGAUUGGGAUAACUCCGAGAAAUCGGAGCUAAUACCGGAUAGUUCAACGGACCGCAUGGUCCGCUGAUGAAAGGCGCUCCGGCGUCACCUUGAGAUGGCCUUGCGGUGCAUUAGCUAGUUGGUGGGGUAAUGGCCCACCAAGGCGACGAUGCAUAGCCGACCUGAGAGGGUGAUCGGCCACACUGGGACUGAGACACGGCCCAGACUCCUACGGGAGGCAGCAGUAGGGAAUCUUCCACAAUGGACGAAAGUCUGAUGGAGCAACGCCGCGUGAGUGAUGAAGGUUUUCGGAUCGUAAAACUCUGUUGUAAGGGAAGAACACGUACGAGAGGGAAUGCUCGUACCUUGACGGUACCUUACGAGAAAGCCACGGCUAACUACGUGCCAGCCGCCGCGGUAAGAC